rnacentral:lncRNA from 1 species
AGCGAACCACCAUAGUCACUGGAGAUAAGAAGCGAACCACCAUAGUCACUGGAGAUAAGAAGCGAACCACCAUAGCCACCGAGAGGAGAAGUUGCGAAGGGGAGAAAUUAUCAGAAAUCGCCGAAUAAGGGAGAUGGUUUAGGGAUUUAUCUUUAGUUCUCUUCAAGCCAUGGCUCAUAGGCUGUUCAGCCUCUAUCAUCGCCACAGAGAAAGAGAGGGUGAGAUUUAGGGAUUUCCUUUUCCUUUACCCUUGGCCAGUACCGUUGAAUGAAUGAGAUAGAGCAAUUAGGGGAUAAAUCCCAUAUUUCUACCAUCUGCGUGAAGUUUUUUUUUAUUCCAGUCUAUUUUGUUUUUCUUGUGCUUAAUGAUUAUCUUUUGUAAAAAAUUUCGAACUAGAAAUACCUAGUGUUGAUUUCCUUAUUGCACCCUGUGAUAACCUCUUUUCAGAUGCAAAUAAAAAAAUAAAAAUAUUCAGUUUUACUAAUUGAAUUUUAAAUGAAUAAGUGUUAAGGGUAUAAAAAUCUUGUGUGAUUAGUGAGGGUACCGUUUUAAUACGAGUGGACGGGGUGCUAAUACCUUUCCCAAUCCGUAAUCGACACCCGAAUUCAGAGUCUCUAUUCAUAGACCAUUUUUAUCGGGCAUAAACGAGAGUUUUUUACGUUUUAACCGCGAAAAUGUAGUGGCGACUCCAAAUCAAUCGGAAGAGGUACAAUUCGAGUCCACCUCUCCCUAAGUCGUAGAGUUGGUCUUCCAACCGAAAACUGGGUCGCGACAAUCUUCUUGCAUACAUUUUUCAGAUUCUUGAUCUUUCAAGUAUGCAUCCUCUAGAGUACCUACAAGAUCAUCACACAUAGCAUUCAUCUUCUCUUUUGGAGAAGAUUGAUAAAAUAGCAC